AGGCUUGUGACCCCCUGCUUCAGCUGGCACUGACCUAGAAUGAACUCCUGGAUCUGAUCAAAGGAUUCGAAGCGAACAGCUGCUGACACACACCUGCUCGUCAAACGUGUACAGGAGCUGUUGGAGAGAACACACACGGCCGCACAGGGACGGGUGUGCAGAGCCUGUGAUCUGUUGCUGAGGACGUUGUGGACCCAGUAGAUGAGGAGUGGCGGGAUCUUGAGGUGGUGGAGUUCCUUUAUCAUCUGGUGGCAUUGAAUGCAUCUGUGACUACAUAUUAAUUUUAAACACCAAACAGGUCCUAAAAUCUUUAUGUGUGUUUAUUGGCUGGCUGCCUUUUUAGUCAUCUUUCCUGUCAUAAACUAAUUCAACCGUUUGCCUGAUGGCACACAGGUACAGACUGCCAGUCCAACAGUGUCAUUACAUUGCAGUAAUAAAUGUCUCACAAUUGACAUGAUGAUAAGUUUGUAUGGAUGCUUAGUGUUGUACCAAUCACUAUUUCAUGUAUGAUAUGUCAUUCUUGGUGGGCCUUGCA